rnacentral:misc_RNA from 1 species
AAAUACCGAAAGACCUCCCCCGGCCCCCCGGGGGAGUGAUUUUCAAACCCUUGUGAACCACAACUCUGUUGCUUCGGGGGCGACCCCGCCGUCUCGGCGGUGGUGCUCCCGGUGGCCAUCUAUUAAACUCUGCAUUACCUUGCGUCGGAGUCUUAUAAAGAAUUAAACA